rnacentral:rRNA from 1 species
UACGGAGGAGGCAAGCGUUAUCCGGAAUUAUUGGGCGUAAAGCGUCCGUAGGUGGCGUGUCAAGUCUGCGGUCAAAGACUGGGGCUUAACCCUGGAAAGGCCGUGGAGACUGACGAGCUAGAGUGCAGUAGGGGUAGAGGGAAUUCCCGGUGUAGCGGUGAAAUGCGUAGAGCUCGGGAAGAACAUCGGUGGCGAAAGCGCUCUACUGGACUGCAACUGACACUCAGGGACGAAAGCUAGGGGAGCGAAUGGG